AGAGUUUGAUCCUGGCUCAGGACGAACGCUGGCGGCGUGCUUAACACAUGCAAGUCGAACGGUCCGCAUAUUGAAAGCUUGCUGGAAAUGUGCGGAUAGUGGCGGACGGGUGAGUAACGCGUGAAUACCUGGCCAUCGGAGGGGGACAACGGCUGGAAACGGCCGCUAAUACCGCGUAAGCCGGAAGGUGAAAGGCCGCGCAAGCGGCUGCCGGUGGAUGGGUUCGCGUCCUAUCAGCUGGUUGGUGGGGUAAGGGCCUACCAAGGCGAAGACGGGUAGCCGGUCUGAGAGGGUGAUCGGCCACACUGGAACUGAGAUACGGUCCAGACUCCUACGGGAGGCAGCAGUGGGGAAUAUUGGGCAAUGGGGGCAACCCUGACCCAGCGACGCCGCGUGAGGGAAGAAGGUUUUCGGAUCGUAAACCUCUGUUGUACGGGAAGAAGGAAGUGACGGUACCGUACGAGGAAGCCCCGGCAAACUACGUGCCAGCAGCCGCGGUAA
rnacentral:rRNA from 2 species